rnacentral:tRNA from 1 species
GGAGAGGUGGCAGAGCGGCUGAAUGCAACUCCCUGCUAAGGAGUUAACCUGGGCGACUGGGUUCUCGGGUUCAAAUCCCGACCUCUCCG